rnacentral:rRNA from 1 species
UACGUAGGGACCAAGCGUUGUUCGGAUUCAUUGGGCGUAAAGGGUGCGUAGGCGGCGAGGCAAGUCUGGUGUGAAAUCCCGGGGCUCAACCCCGGAACUGCACUGGAUACUGCCUUGCUAGAGUACUGGAGAGGGAACUGGAAUUUACGGUGUAGCAGUGAAAUGCGUAGAGAUCGUAAGGAAGACCAGUGGCGAAGGCGAGUUCCUGGACAGUUACUGACGUGAGGCACGAAGGCCAGGGGGAGCAAACGGGG